rnacentral:rRNA from 1 species
GAUGAACGCUAGCGACAGGCUUAACACAUGCAAGUCGAGGGGCAGCAUGGUCUUAGCUUGCUAAGGCCGAUGGCGACCGGCGCACGGGUGAGUAACACGUAUCCAACCUGCCGUCUACUCUUGGACAGCCUUCUGAAAGGAAGAUUAAUACAAGAUGGCAUCAUGAGUCCGCAUGUUCACAUGAUUAAAGGUAUUCCGGUAGACGAUGGGGAUGCGUUCCAUUAGAUAGUAGGCGGGGUAACGGCCCACCUAGUCUUCGAUGGAUAGGGGUUCUGAGAGGAAGGUCCCCCACAUUGGAACUGAGACACGGUCCAAACUCCUACGGGAGGCAGCAGUGAGGAAUAUUGGUCAAUGGGCGCAGGCCUGAACCAGCCAAGUAGCGUGAAGGAUGACUGCCCUAUGGGUUGUAAACUUCUUUUAUAAAGGAAUAAAGUCGGGUAUGGAUACCCGUUUGCAUGUACUUUAUGAAUAAGGAUCGGCUAACUCCGUGCCAGCAGCCGCGGUAAUACGGAGGAUCCGAGCGUUAUCCGGAUUUAUUGGGUUUAAAGGGAGCGUAGAUGGAUGUUUAAGUCAGUUGUGAAAGUUUGCAGCUCAACCGUAAAAUUGCAGUUGAUACUGGAUAUCUUGAGUGCAGUUGAGGCAGGCGGAAUUCGUGGUGUAGCGGUGAAAUGCUUAGAUAUCACGAAGAACUCCGAUUGCGAAGGCAGCCUGCUAAGCUGCAACUGACAUUGAGGCUCGAAAGUGUGGGUAUCAAACAGGAUUAGAUACCCUGGUAGUCCACACGGUAAACGAUGAAUACUCGCUGUUUGCGAUAUACAGCAAGCGGCCAAGCGAAAGCGUUAAGUAUUCCACCUGGGGAGUACGCCGGCAACGGUGAAACUCAAAGGAAUCGACGGGGGCCCGCACAAGCGGAGGAACAUGUGGUUUAAUUCGAUGAUACGCGAGGAACCUUACCCGGGCUUAAAUUGCAGAUGAAUUACGGUGAAAGCCGUAAGCCGCAAGGCAUCUGUGAAGGUGCUGCAUGGUUGUCGUCAGCUCGUGCCGUGAGGUGUCGGCUUAAGUGCCAUAACGAGCGCAACCCUUGUUGUCAGUUACUAACAGGUUCCGCUGAGGACUCUGACAAGACUGCCAUCGCAAGAUGUGAGGAAGGUGGGGAUGACGUCAAAUCAGCACGGCCCUUACGUCCGGGGCUACACACGUGUUACAAUGGGGGGUACAGAGGGCCGCUACCACGCGAGUGGAUGCCAAUCCCCAAAACCUCUCUCAGUUCGGACUGGAGUCUGCAACCCGACUCCACGAAGCUGGAUUCGCUAGUAAUCGCGCAUCAGCCACGGCGCGGUGAAUACGUUCCCGGGCCUUGUACACACCGCCCGUCAAUCCAUGGGAGCCGGGGGUACCUGAAGUGCGUAACCGCGAGGAGCGCCCUAGGGUAAAAC